UCUAAUGUGACAGAAAAAUUGUACUGAGCUUAAAAUUCAUUUAUGGAAAGAAAUUUCCCUUUAGAA
rnacentral:tRNA from 1 species